GUGGGGAAUCUUCCGCAAUGGACGAAAGUCUGACGGAGCAACGCCGCGUGAGUGAAGAAGGUCUUCGGAUCGUAAAGCUCUGUUGUACGGGACGAAUGUUGAAGGCGUGAAUAAUGCCAUCAAAUGACGGUACUGUACGAGGAAGCCACGGCUAACUACGUGCCAGCAGCCGCGGUAAUACGUAGGUGGCGAGCGUUGUCCGGAAUUAUUGGGCGUAAAGGGAGCGCAGGUGGGAAGGUAAGUCUGUUUUAAAAGCGUCGGGCUCAACCCGAUGAGGGAACAGAAACUAUUUUUCUUGAGUGCAGGAGAGGAAAGCGGAAUUCCUAGUGUAGCGGUGAAAUGCGUAGAUAUUAGGAGGAACACCAGUGGCGAAGGCGGCUUUCUGGACUGUAACUGACACUGAGGCUCGAAAGCCAGGGGAGCGAACGGGAUUAGAUACCCUUGUAGUCC
rnacentral:rRNA from 1 species